UCUCUUUUCGACCCGAUCCCUUUUAUAUCCCCAAUAUUUCGCCCAUAUCUAAGGCAAAUCCCUUGUCUCCAGAAAUUAAAUGAUUCAAACAAAGGAGACUCAUUCAAAUCGGACUAGCAUCAUCUUACCAACACCACAACAACUUUCUUAUUCUCUCUAUUUCUAUAAAAUCCAUGACCAUGACCACUACCAAAUCACCCUUCAUCUUUUCUCUUCCCCCUCUUUGUCUCUUCAUAAUCGUCACCGCCACAAUCAACCACCUAUCUCUCACCCUCUCUUACAACCACCGUUGUCAUGAUCUUUACAUAUUUGAUAAUAUGAAAUCGACUUAAAAGAAUCCACCCUGAUGUCUUAUCACCCAAUCAGUUGUUUUUUUCAUUUAAACAUAUGUUAUGUUGUUUUUUUAGUUAUACGAUAUUUGUUCAUUUUCUUAUUUCCAUCAUUGUGAUGAAGUUUUUGAAGUUCCAGAGAAGUCAGCGGGAUGAUUUCUAGACUCCAGCCUGGUAUGUUUUUUAAAGCAUGGUUGGUUAACUACUUCUGAUUUCUUGUUCUUUUUCGUUGCAGGUUAGCUGGUAAUAUUUUGUUUGUGCUCAAAGAAGAUGAAGGCAUAAGGGCUUUAGGAAGAUCACCCGCAAGGAUAAUGCCGAGAAGUAAAGUAAUUGUAAGUUUUUCCCACUUGUAUGACGUGUUCAUUUAUUUUAUUUUUUUUAUAGGUCUAUUUUGUUUUCUUCACUGGUUUUUUUUUGUUUUUGAUUUUUAAGGAUUUUUGUUUCCCUUUAUUCUAUCUGGCCGGAAUCACAAUGAUGAAGCACCAUGCUUUGCAGGAGGAGUGAACUUUCCAGGGGCUUAUAAAGAAAAGAGUAUUGAUUGUACAAGGGUAUAUUGUAUUGACAUUUUUGUAUUGACUCCACUCUCAAAGGUACAAGUUGAAAUCUUUAUCUCUGUUUAUGUUUGAUUACAUGCUCAUAUUCACCGACGCCGCUUUGCGCAGGUAAAUGGCUAGUAUAUAUAUAUAUAUAUAUAUAUAUAUAUAUAUAUAUAUAUAUAUAUAUAUAUAUAUAUAUAUAUAAACGAUUCUCAUUCGAACCCUAACUAAUGGGGGAACCCUUGGGGGUUAAUUUGCGACUGGAGGUGCAGCUGAAAGGCUUGGAACUCAUGGAACAACCCUAACAUUCAAUUUUGAGAAGAUCAAAGGCAAUUUAGGUUUACACUUUACUUAAUCUUUCGUUUGGACUGUGUGUGAACUAUUAGAUUUCGUUUUGAGCUACUUUCUGUUGUAAUCAUGAGCUAAAACUCAUAUCUUCUGUUUAGGGUAUAUGAAUUUAUGACUAUGUGUUGAUUUUUGUGGUUGGAUUAAUUGAAAUUGGUGAGUUUGUUUUGUUAAGCUUUUUAAAGAUACCCAUGUGUUAACAACAACUAUUUUCUGUUAUUUAACAAAUAUAUUAAGUUGCAUGAACAUCUCUUAAUUGCUGAUCUCAUAUGAUUUAUGUGAAAACAUUGUUAUGUGCCUAGGAAUAGCGAACGUGAAACUAGGGUUAACUAGAAAAUAGGUAAGUUAAUGUGUGAGAUUGUGUGACGAACCAUCAACAAGAGGUUAAUUGAAUUAGUAAUUUCAUUAGCUAAUUACAAGUCUUACUUAACCUGAAUCAAUAAACUAGGAAACUCAUUAGUUUAACCAAUUAGCCACUUUUUGAAUUAAUUUGUUUUCUAAGGAUUAAUAAUAGCGAACGUGAACCUAAUCACAUUAAUCGGUAGCCAAUAAAAAUUAAUCCAUUGCACUUACCAUAAAAUCAACCAUAGGAGUAAAUGAAUCGAACCUAAACAAAAGUCUUCUCCAUUAUUGAAUUUAGUGAUUGUUUAUUUGCUUUAGUUGUUAGUUGCUUAGUUUGAGUUUUAUUUCAUUGUUAAGUUUCUAGUCUUGAAAAACUAGAGAAAAACUUCUUUCUAUUACUUCUUUCAUUUAGAUAAUAUUAACAUUUAUUUUAAUUGUUUAUCAUUCCCUAUGUUCGAUACCCUACUUGCUUGAACUAUAUUACUAAUCGAUAGGUACACUGCCUUUCAUGUUUUUAUUGUGUGUCUAAGUUAGUAGGAUUAAAACUAGUGCAUUUCACACACAUCAAGUUUCUGGCGCCGUUGUCGGGGAACGGUUCUAAAUAGUUAAUUUUAUUUGCUAAUUGUUAUCGUUUUUAAUUUAUUGAUUUUUUAUAUAUAUUUAGUUUAAUUUUUAUUUUUUUAUUUUUUUUAUAUUUUUAUUUUAUUAUGUAUUUUCCAACUCUCGAUGCUCUUGAUGCUUUUCUUGAGGAAGUAAUACAGGAAAUCGAGCAAGAAGAUGAGGAGUAUGACUCAGAUGAUUUGAAGAAAUUUGGAAGAUGGUUAGAUAGCAUCUUGCCUAAUGAACAAGAGCAAUCCGAGUUACAAGAGCUAGAGUUAAAAGAUGAAGAAUUUAAUGCAGAAAGAGACUUGGAGGAGCUGGAAAGAUUGUUGGCAUAAGGGUCAGAUUAAGAACAAGAACAACCUGAAUUGCAGGAACCAACCUGUGGUUUGACCAUUACCACGACUUAGCCUCCUGUAUUUCCAGUUUGUGUUUCGAAGCAUGGGGUGACAAUUCCAACUUUGGAGAAAGUUCUGAAGCGCAAUCCAUUUCUGAUUAGUAUCCAACCGGUUCCAACCCUUGUCAAGAUUUUAGGUUUUAUGAAUUCAAGCACAUUUGGCCAAUUUUUGAAGCAAAGAGCCAAAUUUUACAACUUGUUCUAAAGAAAAUAUUCAAUGCAACGGAUGGAUUGACAUUGAGUUUAUUGUAAGUUUAUUAAGUUGGGAGUCCAGCUCAAGACUCGCACAAAAAGAAGCGCUUGCAGGAGGCAACUCGUCAUUAGAGUUUGCUUUUCUUUUUCUUUUUCUUUUUAUUUUGUGUGUUUAGUUUGGUCUGUUUCUAAACUUCUAGUCUAUUAGAGUAAUAUAGGAAUGCUAAUUUGAUGUU